CUGAGCUGACUGCUAACUAGAUUCUUUAUCCCGCCUGGCUGUCAGGGAAAUAACUAUGACAUUAAAUGAAUGAAACUCUCUUCGGAUAUUCCAGGGCAAGGCUAAAGCGAGAUCCUUCGGGAGCUACUGAGAAGAAGACGUGAAAGCAGAGGAGAGGUUGAGGGUUCUUGGAAGGCAACCAUGAGAGGCGUCAUGAGAUGGUGCCAAGCAGUACACAGAGACGUUAAUGGCAGAUCAUUAAGCACUCUUUGAGACAACGCUACCACCCUCAAAGCAGACUUUUCUUGUAAACGUGUUGUAGGGACUCCCAGAUGUUACCGCGGUACAUUGCUUAAGGAAGAGAAGGAUGCAGUGACAGACCAUGGAAUGGCAAUUAAAUCAACUCACUUGUAACGACAACUGGCAACAUGAAGUGGGCUGCUCCUAAGUUCACUCAACUCUGAGGAGCAGUGCUGAGCAGGAUCAAUGUCCACAAGGCUGCAGGUCCUGAUGGCAUCCCCGGGCGUGUUCUCAGAGCAUGUUCUGGGUUUCUGAAGGGGUCCAACCUGUGCAUGUAUUAAUUGCUUGGGAUGAUUGCUUUCCAUUGUUCAUAAGAGCAGUGAUUUCUGUAGUUCCCAUUCCCAGGUGAUUCUUGGAAGAGGAUUUACGGGAGAUGAUUCUGGGAAGAUGCUAUCCUGGAAUUCUACCUGGCAUGUCAGAAAAAUGACAACGUGUACCCAGUGCAUUAACAGUCGAAGCGAUGAAAAGUGGUCCCGAGCCACCAGCCAAAUAUGGGUGAGUGAUUCCUACAAGUCGGCAGAGUUCUCGGAUGUGACAGCAGCUUGGCUCCCUCGCAGUCUGUUGAACACAGAUCAGCUUGAAGUAUUGUUUAGACACAAAGUGGCGAGAGUACGUCUCUUUCAGCACGCGAGGGAAAGCAACACAUCGGGUGUUGCAAAGUCACAAUGAACCCCCGUUGAACUAAACAAAGAGGGACCAGACAAUUUGUGCACCACGCACGUUGAUUUCUCUGACAUUCAAAUCUCCGUGUCAUGUCAGCCCCAGGAGUCCAUUUUUACCAAACUGCAUGGCACCGUUCCACUGUUCGGGCUUGUGUAACACUGGCUCGCUAACAGGAGUGUUGAGCCGUGUUGGCAAAACAUCUUAAAAAUAGCAUUAAAAGACACAUUUUUAGUGACCUAUAACACAAUACUAUUUGGACCUGGUUUCUGUAACAGAUUUCUUUCCAGCCUUACGUGAGUAAGAAAAAAAAAAGUAACUAAACCCGGGUUCUAAAAAUAAAUAGUUGCAGAGGUAAGUCUGGUUUGCAGGUAUUUUUAUCGUCCUCCUGGCCUACAUCUGACAGCUCAAAAUGGUAAUUCUUUUCAGGGAGCCACUGUUUACUGGUGAUGCAUGUGUACUAUAAAGCUCGUCUGAAUGGCCUUGUCUCACGUGGCCGAGCAAACCGAACAAAAGCAGUGAAUUGAUCUGUGACAGUGAAACAAUGAAGAGCAGUUUAAGGAGGAGGAACUGUUCCAGUGCAAAAAGAAAUGGAUGACUUGUGUAAUUCUUGUCUUCGGCCAUUUCUUCAAAGUUUUGUCACAGAAAUGGACUGGACACUUAAAACAAAAUUUGCUUUACACUAAACGCUGUUACGCAAACUCCGAUGCAACUUUAGUUUAUAGGCGGUGGUAAACUUAUAAUUAGCCUCACGAAUCAAAUGAAACCAAUUACAGAAACGAGUGCAAAUAAGUCUCUGGCAUCGCAGAUCAAACCAAAGAAAACAAACUGCACCAUUGGCAGACCCCCGCUGGGCCCCCAAACACUACCCAUAUCCCACCCACCUCAACCCCAGUCUCUGCAUGAUCGCAUGAAAGGUCUACAAGCAGUCGAAAGAAAGUGCUGUGCUUGGCUGGGAAAUGAUGAAAGAAUUUUCUUUGACUGGAAGUGUUUGAAGCUCUCUACAGUUUUUUUAUGCUUCCAAAAGAUGUGUACUAGCUUAAGAGUGAAGGAAUGAGGUAAAGAGGACGAGGAGGGUGAGACAAAUGCUAACCUUUAAGAAGACUACAGGGAAAAGUGGUGCCUUUGUCAUCUGCAUUGCUAGAUGUUGUUUGACCUUUUUAACACCUAAUAGUGUUUUUUUCAUUGGUUGAUUAAUUUUUAUUACCUCGUACACAUGUAAAUGCUAAAAUAAAAUCAUAUUAAAUGUCAGUAUGUGUUGACAAGAACAGUCAUGCAGCAUUACAGUAUUGAUGAAUUACAACCUUCCAAAAUAGACAGAAAGAGGCUGCAUGUAAACAGAAUUCAUAGACGUCUGAGGGCCUCUGUGGGCCAAUCAUAUUUUGAUGAUGCUGCUCAAGAAGAAAAUUAGGCCCUGCAUAUGUAUCCACUGGGGAAGUGGGAAUGAGAAGCGUGAUAUCUGAGGCAAGUGGUGAUGUGAGCUUAACAUCCUUAUUCAAAGAGUUGUGCAGCUUGACAUAAUGUUUAAUCCUCUACAGAUGUAGCCAGGAGAGAAGCUCAAAUUUCUGUGCUGCGUUCUUCAAAUCAAAAACAGGUUAAGUAUAUAUACGAGACUGCACUCCAUAAUCAAAUCCAAUCCAAAUUCUGCCAUUUAAAUAUGCACAAUUUUAUGGUUCGUGAAUAAACGCUGGUGUGAAAAAUGAAAUAGAUGAUGACUGUGUCACUGCCGUUGUGCGUAAUGGCUCAAAGACCUACAUCUACAUGUUGUUGCUGUACACUGUCAAAAAUAUGUAGGACAACUGGUAAUGUGGCCUACUUGUUUGUGUUUGCGUUCUCGGUCAUUUAAGUUUAGACUAGAGAAGACAGGUCAUAAUAUAAAAAGAAGUUCUCUGUAAUGAAUGGAAACAGCAUUAAAAAGAAAA